rnacentral:lncRNA from 1 species
GUUUUACAGCUUGGUCACUGUCUGGUGACUAACUACCAGAAUAAAUAGCACUUACACAGUAUGUUUCAGUAGUCAGUACUCUUAGCUUGUUGGGGAAUCAGUAGAUAACGUCUCCUGCUUUCCUUACCAUGCGACAUGAAGGAUUCUGAAUGUCAAGUGCACUGACUCUCCGGAGAAUAAUCAGUGACUUGGAUUGGGUUUCAUACUGAAUACCAAGAAACUUGACUGAGAUAAGACUUCUCAUCAAAAUAUGUUGCAGAGAAUGUUGGCUUUGAAAGCUCAGGGAAGAAGCAGUAGGGGGAAAAACGUAACACAGUGGUAAGUAUCAUCAUGGUUUUUUUUCUUUUGAACCAGCAGCAUGUUUAUUAAAAUAUGUAAAC